rnacentral:lncRNA from 1 species
CAUGUUAGCCUGACCUUAAGUACAAGAUCCCCAGAAGCAAAGUAAGGGAGGAAAAUCAGGGACAUGGGGGUCUUUGAUCAGGCCUUGAAGACCCAGAAAGAGUUCACACCCUAGAUAUAGAAAAGAAACAAUAUUACCAAAGAAGUAGAGAUGACACCAGGGUAUAAAAAGAUUUUAAACUUAAUAAAGUAAGGAUAGUAGGCUGGAGAAGACAGAAGAGUCCUACGGACCUAAUGCCAGGCUAAGGAAUUAGACUUUAUUUACAAUCAGUGGCAGCCAUUGAUGUUUCCAGCACAGAAAUAAGAUGGGUGCCA